rnacentral:rRNA from 1 species
GAUGAACGCUGGCGGCGUGCCUAAUACAUGCAAGUCGAGCGAACAGAUAAGGAGCUUGCUCCUUUGAAGUUAGCGGCGGACGGGUGAGUAACACGUGGGUAACCUACCUAUAAGACUGGGAUAACUUCGGGAAACCGGAGCUAAUACCGGAUAACAUCUAGAACCGCAUGGUUCUAAAGUGAAAGAUGGUUUUGCUAUCACUUAUAGAUGGACCCGCGCCGUAUUAGCUAGUUGGUAAGGUAACGGCUUACCAAGGCGACGAUACGUAGCCGACCUGAGAGGGUGAUCGGCCACACUGGAACUGAGACACGGUCCAGACUCCUACGGGAGGCAGCAGUAGGGAAUCUUCCGCAAUGGGCGAAAGCCUGACGGAGCAACGCCGCGUGAGUGAUGAAGGGUUUCGGCUCGUAAAACUCUGUUAUUAGGGAAGAACAAAUGUGUAAGUAACUGUGCACAUCUUGACGGUACCUAAUCAGAAAGCCACGGCUAACUACGUGCCAGCAGCCGCGGUAAUACGUAGGUGGCAAGCGUUAUCCGGAAUUAUUGGGCGUAAAGCGCGCGUAGGCGGUUUCUUAAGUCUGAUGUGAAAGCCCACGGCUCAACCGUGGAGGGUCAUUGGAAACUGGGAAACUUGAGUGCAGAAGAGGAAAGUGGAAUUCCAUGUGUAGCGGUGAAAUGCGCAGAGAUAUGGAGGAACACCAGUGGCGAAGGCGACUUUCUGGUCUGUAACUGACGCUGAUGUGCGAAAGCGUGGGGAUCAAACAGGAUUAGAUACCCUGGUAGUCCACGCCGUAAACGAUGAGUGCUAAGUGUUAGGGGGUUUCCGCCCCUUAGUGCUGCAGCUAACGCAUUAAGCACUCCGCCUGGGGAGUACGACCGCAAGGUUGAAACUCAAAGGAAUUGACGGGGACCCGCACAAGCGGUGGAGCAUGUGGUUUAAUUCGAAGCAACGCGGAGAACCUUACCAAAUCUUGACAUCCUUUGAAAACUCUAGAGAUAGAGCCUUCCCCUUCGGGGGACAAAGUGACAGGUGGUGCAUGGUUGUCGUCAGCUCGUGUCGUGAGAUGUUGGGUUAAGUCCCGCAACGAGCGCAACCCUUAAGCUUAGUUGCCAUCAUUAAGUUGGGCACUCUAGGUUGACUGCCGGUGACAAACCGGAGGAAGGUGGGGAUGACGUCAAAUCAUCAUGCCCCUUAUGAUUUGGGCUACACACGUGCUACAAUGGACAAUACAAAGGGCAGCUAAACCGCGAGGUCAUGCAAAUCCCAUAAAGUUGUUCUCAGUUCGGAUUGUAGUCUGCAACUCGACUACAUGAAGCUGGAAUCGCUAGUAAUCGUAGAUCAGCAUGCUACGGUGAAUACGUUCCCGGGUCU